CCCUUAGAUGUUCUGGGCCGCACGCGUGCUACACUGAACGGUUCGAUGGGUAAGGUAGUGCGAAAGCAUGACCUAAUCUCGAAAUCCGUUCGUGCUGGGGAUAGAAGCUUGCAAUUAUCCUUCUUGAACGAGGAAUACCUUGUAAGCGUGAGUCAUCAUCUCACGCUGAAUACGUCCCUGCCCUUUGUACACACCGCCCGUCGCUCCUACCGAUUGAGUGUUCCGGUGAGGCUUUGGGAGAAUGGCCUCAACAUGAGUUUAUCGUGUUUUGCCGUUUGAACUUAGUCAAACCUUAUCACUUAGAGGAAGGAGAAGUCGUAACA
rnacentral:rRNA from 1 species